rnacentral:rRNA from 1 species
CCUCCGGGUUUCCUCCUUUAUUACUCUUUUUCACUUUACUAUAUUCUUAACCAUCCAAUUAUCUUUAAUGAUGACUUCCCUAUUUUUUUUAAACUUCUUUUAUAUGGGAAUAAAAUGUUCCACGUGUGGGAUUUUGUAUGUACCAUAUGAAUAAGGAUCGGCUAACUCCGUGCCAGCAGCCGCGGUAAUACGGAGGAUCCGAGCGUUAUCCGGAUUUAUUGGGUUUAAAGGGAGCGUAGGUGGAUUGUUAAGUCAGUUGUGAAAGUUUGCGGCUCAACCGUAAAAUUGCAGUUGAAACUGGCAGUCUUGAGUACAGUAGAGGUGGGCGGAAUGCGUGGUGUAGCGGUGAAAUGCUUAGAUAUCACGAAGAACUCCGAUUGCGAAGGCAGCUCACUGGACUGCAACUGACACUGAGGCUCGAAAGUGUGGGUAUCAAACAGGAUUAGAUACCCGAGUAGUC